rnacentral:misc_RNA from 1 species
GCGCCGCCCGGGCGCGGCGUCGGUGGGCGCACUCGAUCCCGGCUGUCCUCCCCUCGCGCGGCGGAUCGGGUCCGCGCUACCGGAGCCGCGCCCGCGGCUCCACGCG